GACAAGUAAAUAACUUUUCCUUAUUCACUUUCUCCACAUCACUCAUGACUCGGGUGCCCUCUGACUGGCUGUGUCUGGAUGUGCACAGCUGGCAGAGGGGCGGCUGGAGGCCGGGUACCAGGCGGCGCAGGAGCUGGUGCAGAGUCAGGCGCGUGGCACGCUGCAGGCCAGGCACCGGGCGGAGCGGCUGCGUGAUGAGGCCAAGGCCCUCCUGCGGGAUGCUCAGGGCAAGCUGCAGCGCCUGACAGCGCUGGAGGGGUCGUACCAGGAGAACGAGCGGGUGCUGGAGGAGAAGGCAGCCCAGCUAGACGGGCUGGAGGCCAAGGUGAAGGGCAUCGUGGGUGCCAUCAACCAGCAGAUCCAGAUCUACAACACCUGCCAGUGACUCCGAGUGCCCACCGGCCUGUCCCCCCCGUCCUCCGACCCAGCCAGCCUGUCCCCAUGCCCAGCCCCCUCUCCAUGUCUGCCAGGGCCUGGGCUUCCCUGCCUGGCUCCGGCCCCCCUGGGAGAGCCCUGCCCCCUCGGCACCGUCACUGCUGGGGCUGUGCUCAGGACUCCCUCCUGCACAGCCUCGGGGCGUCCUGGGCCCCUGCCCUGGCCUGGCACGGUGCCCUUCCCACAGCCCAGGGCUCUGCCGCUGCCUCCAGCCGGGGGCACCAGGACCUUGGCCCAGCGCUAGGCUGGGGGGCUGAGGAGGACUCGCACCCUCCACAGCGGGCAGGGCACAGGGUCCGCGAGACGAGGUCUUGCAGCCUGUGGUGCUUUGCCCUGGCACAUGGCGGGGGCAGCUUGCGUGUGAAUAAAGCCCUCGCCUGGCA